GAUCAGGUGGCCGAGUGGUUAAGGCGAUGGACUGCUAAUCCAUUGAGGUUUCCCCGCUUGAGUUCGAAUCUCAUCCUGAUCG
rnacentral:tRNA from 1 species